UCGAAGUAUUCCGCGUACGUU
rnacentral:misc_RNA from 2 species